rnacentral:rRNA from 1 species
CGGUCGGUGGAUGGCUAGGCUCGGGAGCCGACGAAGGGCGUGCCAAGCCGCGAUAGGCCUCGGGUAGGCGCAUGGAGCCGUUGAUCCGAGGAUUCCCGAAUGGGGCCUCCUGCACGGGCGUUGAGCCCGUGCGCUCCGUCGGGAGCGGGAACCCGGGGAACUGAAACAUCUUAUUACCCGGAGGAAAAGAAACCAAAAUGGGAUGCCGUGAGUAGGGGCGACCGAAAACGGCAGAGGGCAAACCGAACCCCGACCCGAAAGGGCCGGGGGAUGUGGUGUUGCAGGGCCCUCCCCAACCCCUCGCCGCCGAAGCCGAAGUCCCCUGGAAUGGGGCGCCGCAGAGGGUGAGAGCCCCGUAGGCGCAAGGCGGCAGGGCACGAGGGGGGAGUCCCUGAGUACCGUGCCUUGGAAAUGGCGCGGGAAGCUGGGGGACAUGCGCCUCCAACCCUAAAUACUCCCCGAGUCCGAUAGCGCACUAGUAGGGUGACCGAAAGCUGCAAAGCACCCCGGGAGGGGGGUGAAAAGAGCCUGAAACCGGCCGGCCACAGAUUGUGCGGGCGCGAAAGGGAAGAAGCCCCGUAGCUGGGGUGGACCGGCGUCCGCACGUACGUUUUGAAUAACGUCCCAGGGAGUUCCGAUCGGCGGCGAGGCUAAGCGCGUAGGCGCGGAGCCGCGGCGAAAGCGACUGGUCCGCAGCCCCUCUGGGGCGAGGGACGGGGUGCGAUCGCCCGGAGUCGCCGGUGGGAGACCCGAAACCGGUCGAUCUAGGCCUGGGUAGGGUGAAGCCGGGCUAACGCCCGGUCGAGGCCCGCACCGGUGCUGGUGUGCAACCCGCUCGGAUGACCUGGGUCUAGGGGCGAAAGACCAAUCUAGACCGGAGAUAGCUGGUUCCCCCCGAGACUGGCCGCAGCUAGACCUCCGGCGAGGCAGCCGGCGGGGUAGAGUUACUGAUUGGGGUGUUAGGGGGCGUGAAGCCCUCGCACCCCAGUCAAACUCCGAAUACGCCGGCGCCGUAGACCCGGGGAGCUAGGGGCGCUGGAUAAGCUAGCGUCCCGAGAGGGGAACAACCCAGAGGGGGGUUAAGGCCCCCAAGUGCCGGCUAAGUGUGAAAGGCCAAAGGGAGUCCGGGGCCCAAGACAGCGGGGAGGUAGGCUUAGAAGCAGCCAUCCUCUAAGGAGUGCGUAAAAGCUCACCCGCCGAGGUCCCGGGCCCCGAAAAUGGACGGGGCUAAGCCGGCCGCCGAUACCCCCCGGCUCCGAGAGGAGAUCCGGUAGGGGGGCGUCCCGCGGGGGUGGAAGCCUGGGGGUGACCUCGGGUGGACCCCGUGGGAACGAGGAUCCUGGGGGGAGUAGCAGCAUAGUGCCGUGAGAAUCGGCACCGCCGAAGGGCAUCAGGGUUCCUCGGCAAUGCUCGUCAGCCGAGGGUAAGCCGGUCCUAAGGCCGCCCCCAACUGGGAGCGGCCGAAGGGGAAGCCGGUUAAUAUUCCGGCGCCGUCGCCGUUGCACGGUCCCGGGCCCGACGCCUCGGGGUGGGCCGAGGGGUCUAGCCAGGCCCUCCAAGCGUCGAAGCCCCCGGAGAGCCGUAAUGGCGAGAAGGGGGUGAAGGCGUGAUGGGCCCGCCUAGGGCGGGUUCGGCUGAGUCCCUGGGGCCCGUGAAAAGGGUCCGGGGUCAAUGUGACGGCGGCGACCGUACCGAGAACCGACACAGGUGGCCUGGCGGAGCAAGCUAAGGCGCGUGGGGCUAAGCCGGGCGAGGGAACUCGGCAAACUGGCCCCGUAACUUCGGGAGAAGGGGUGCCAGCCCCGGGAAGGGGCUGGUCGCAGUGACAGGGGGACCCCGACUGUUUAACAAAAACAUAGGUCACCGCCAGCUCGAAAGGGUGAGUACGGUGGCCGAAGCCUGCCCAGUGCCCGUACCUGAAGCCCGGGUUCAACCGGGUGAAGGGCGGGUAAACGGCGGGGGUAACUCUGACCCUCUUAAGGUAGCGUAGUACCUCGCCGCUUAAUUGGCGGCUUGCAUGAAGGCCCAACGAGCGUCCCGCUGUCCCCGCCCGGCGUCCCGCGAAACCAAUGCACUGGUGUGCAAUCCAGUACCCCCCACGUGAACGCGAAGUCCCUGUGGAGCUUUACUGCAGCCUGCCGUUGCGGCGAUGCUCCCGGUGUGUAGCGUAGGCGGGAGCCUUCGAAGCCCCCUCGCCAGGGGGGGUGGAGGCGCCGAUGAAACACCGCCCUCCGGGGGCGUCGCCGCUAACCCCUUCGGGGGGACAGCGGUUGGUGGGCAGUUUGGGUGGGGCGCCACGCCCUCGAAAGGGUAACAAGGGCCCCCAAAGGUCGGCUCACCGGGGUCAGAAAUCCCGGGUUGAGUGCAAGGGCAAAAGCCGGCUUGACGCGGUUGCGCACAACAAGCAACCGCGAGGGGAGACCCGGGCCUAGCGAACCAGCCUGUGCCUCCGCGUGAGGCCGGCUGAUAAGAGAGAAGUUACCCCAGGGAUAACUGGCUCGUCCCCGGCAAGAGUCCACAUCGACCCGGGGGCUUGGUACUUCGAUGUCGUCUCUCCCCAUCCUGGUGGUGCAGCAGCUGCCAAGGGUGGGGCUGUUCGCCCAUUAAAGGGGAUCGUGAGAUGGGUUCACUACGUCGCGAGACAGUAGGGGUGCUUUUCCGUGGGGGUGCGAGGGCGCCUGAGGGGAACGGCCCCUUAGUACGAGAGGAACGGGGGCCGGCGGCCUCUAGUGUACCGGUUGUCCGGCAGGGCAUAGCCGGGCAGCCACGCCGUAGGGGAUAAGAGCUGAAGGCAUCUAAGCUCGAAGCCCCCCCUGAAACGAGGCGCCCACACCAGGGCACCCGUAAAAGACGGGUUUGAUAGGCCCGGGGUGUAAGCGGCGAGCCCCUCGGGGCGAGCCGUUCAGCCCGCGGGUACUAACGCCCGAGGC